GCUCGCGUAGCUCAGUCGGUAGAGCGCAUCCUUGGUAAGGAUGAGGUCACCGGUUCGAUCCCGGUCGUGAGCUCCC
rnacentral:tRNA from 1 species